UCCCUGUGAUGAUACCAAGGCGAAUAUGAGCUCAUUGAAUCAAGGUUCGCCUGUACUUUGAUUGGCUGGUAAUCUUGGCAGGGCAGUGAAGAUUGGCUGCUUUACUGUAAGGGCCAGCAUACAUUCAAAAGUCCCCACCUCAAUAUCCCAUCCCUAGUAAGAAACGGGAGGUGGAUGAGGAGGGAGCUGAUAGAAAGCAUGUGUGUGUGUUCCAGAUGUAAAUAAAGCCUGGCUGCUUUGGUGUUCAGUGGACUAUGAGCUGCCUCUUUGGUAAUCUGAGGGUU
ensembl:snoRNA small nucleolar RNA U85